CUGCAUUGGUAAGCAGAUUCUUAACCACUGAGCCACCUGGGGAGCAAUGCUAUUACUUAAGAUGCCUCCAGAUAUCUUCACCUGGAUAACCCAUGGGUACUCCAAAUUUAACAUACAAAACCCAAAUCUGCAUCCAAAUGUUUCCCUCCUGUCUUCCAAUUUCCGUAAAUGGCUCCUCCAUCCACCCAAUCAGCCAAGCCAUACUAUUAUUGCAAAUCUCUGGACAGAAAAAAUUCAUUUAUUUCCCAUCGUUCUCCAAAUUUAACAUUCAUUGGAAUCAUCUGGAAAGCUAAUUAAAGCACAGUUUCCUGAGACUCAUGCCCAGAAAUUCUAAUUCAAUGGUCUGGAAUGGGAUCUAUGAAUUUGCAAUUCUAACAAGCUCACAGGUGACAGCAGGGCUGUUGGGCCAGGGUCCACAGUUUGAGAACCACUGCCCUAGAUAAUGAAAAAAACAUAGACACAUUUCUGUGAGCCGUCAAAUCCCUACUUGGUGAGCAAUCAUUGCCAAAGAAUGAAGGCCCAGGAAGUAAAUCUCCUCUGGAGAAACAAUCUCUGCAUCAACCAGAGACAGGAUAAAUUAAUGAAAUGGCAUGGGAUUUAAUUAUUCCUUCAUUCAUCAACCAUGUUUUGAGUGCCUACUCUCUGCUCGGCACAGUACAAGGCGCUGAGCUAUACAAUGCUGGAUAAAAAAAUGACAUAAUCCAAGUUUUAACAAGUGAACUCAGGCACUCUAUUGAGACUGUAAAAUGGGAAUCAUAAUGCCAUUGUGUAGGCUUUAUGAGA